GCCGCGGUGGCGGAAUUGGCAGACGCGCAUGAUUCAGGUUCAUGUGAGGUCAAACUCAUGGAGGUUCAAGUCCUCUCCGCGGCA
rnacentral:tRNA from 4 species